rnacentral:rRNA from 1 species
CCUACGGGUGGCAGCAGUGGGGAAUAUUGGUCAAUGGACGCAAGUCUGAACCAGCCAAGUAGCGUGAAGGAUGACUGCCCUAUGGGUUUUAAACUUCUUUUAUAAGGGGAUAAAGUGUGUCACUUGUGCCUUUUUGUAUGUACUUUAUGAAUAAGGAUCGGCUAACUCCGUGCCAGCAGCCGCGGUAAUACGGAGGGUCCGGGCGUUAUCCGGAUUUAUUGGGUUUAAAGGGUGCGUAGGUGGUUAAUUAAGUCAGAGGUGAAAUGUUGUGGCUCAACCGUAAAAUUGCAAUUGAUACUGGCAGGCUUGAGUACAGUUGAGGUAGGCGGAAUUCGUGGUGUAGCGGUGAAAUGCGUAGAGAUCACGAAGAACUCCGAUUGCGAAGGCAGCUUACUAAACUGAGACUGACACUGAGGUUCGAAAGUGUGGGUAUCAAACAGGAUUAGAUACCCUAGUAGUC